rnacentral:rRNA from 1 species
AGAGUUUGAUCCUGGCUCAGAAUCAACGCUGGCGGCGUGCCUAACACAUGCAAGUCGAACGAGAAAGUGGAGCAAUCCAUGAGUAAAGUGGCGACCGGGUGAGUAACACGUGACUAACCUACCUUCAAGUGGGGGAUAACCUCGGGAAACCGGGGCUAAUACCGCAUAAAAUCUUUGGGAUGGAAAUCCUGUUGAUCAAAGGAGCAAUUCGCUGGAAGAGGGGGUCGCGGCUGAUUAGCUAGUUGGCGGGGUAAUGGCCCACCAAGGCUUUGAUCGGUAGCCGGCCUGAGAGGGCGCACGGCCACACUGGAACUGAAACACGGUCCAGACUCCUACGGGAGGCAGCAGUGGGGAAUUUUGCGCAAUGGGGGAAACCCUGACGCAGCAACGCCGCGUGGAGGAUGAAGUCCCUUGGGACGUAAACUCCUUUCGACUGGGAAGA